GUGAAAUGGGAAUAUUGAUAAGGCUCGUGGUGGUGUGACGCAGGCACCGUGUGCGCCGUCAGCGGAUGUCGACCUGUGCUGCGGCAAAGUCAGAGGUCGUUAUCAUGCUCACGUCGGUGCCGAGGGCAGACGGGGCCUCCCGCGGGCCAGGCACACCGCGCACGGGGGGCACCCUCCGCUCUCUUCCUUCUCAUCUCAGCUCCUUAUUAUUUUGCAGGGACUCGGAACCAAUUGUAGUGCCCCGCCCCCUGCAAUGACUUGACUUCCCCCGUGCGGCCCGGAAGUCAGAUCCUUAGUGACGCCCCCUCCCCCGGGCAGCAGUAAGAAGGCAAACGUCACACACACCGGACUUAACCGUCGUUCAGUUUAAUCUCCUUCCGCCUAGUAGCACAGGAAGGAAAAACGUCGACCACGAAGGGACUCGAACCCUCAAUCUCCUGAUCCGGAAUCAGACGCCUUAUCCAUUAGGCCACGCGGCCAGCGGCGGGGGAGAUUGGCCACGUGGACUCAAAGAUAGGGGCGCUGAGCGUCCAGGGCCGGCUGGGACGACCGCGAAGGCCCGGCGCCCCUGAAACCGCUUCCUGAACCCGAAACUCAGCGGCAUUGAAUGUGCAGAGCCCGGGCGGUGAGGGCCGCGGUCCGCGGGCUGGAGGGGCGGGACCCGUGGAGGCGACGACUCCCCUCGCCCACCUGCUCACUUGGGGUCCACCCGCAGAGCGGGGGUUUCGCGGGCCCCGUGGUCAUCCAACCGUGGGUGAAGCGUUUUCCGGCGUACAUCUACUGGUGGAGGAGGUGGAGAGGAGAGAUUCCUGGAAGAAGGGAGGCUGAAGGGCAGAGGAAGAAAGAGGAAGCUGGCUCUCCAAAACCUACGAAGUGCCUGGUCCUGAUAGCUGCACCACAGUCAGGGAAGACGAAGGGCACCUGUCCUCCAGGAUUUUGUUGCCCCGAGAUGAGCUCUCCGGAAACCACAGAGAGGCCCCACCUCUAACGACCAAGCCAUGCCUGGGGCGCAGCUGCUGUGGAAUUUCCUAAAUGACUAAAAGUGACCCAGCGUAAACCCCUCAUCCCCCCGUCUUCGGCUCCAUGAUAGUGCCUCAGAGAUCCAUGUAGGCACAAAAAUCCCUUUCUCCAACAGAAAGGAGAUGUCUCUGGAAUGAAGUGUGGCACCAGUUCAAAGCGCGGCGCCCUCCCUGUAAAAACCUAGGGUGCGACCUCUUUCCUAGCCGCACCCGUCCUGAGGAGCGUAUCUUGGCCCAUCUGUUUUCACUUCUAUUUUUGUGUCUUAGUUCUUUGGGAUAAUGAGAACCUAGAACGGUUACAUUUAGAUAGUGCUGUUGCCUUGUUUUGCCAUGCCACAGACCCAAGACUGGAGAGCUAAGAGUUUAUGGACAAAAAACCCUAAACCAUGAGCCAAAAGGAACAUCUCUCCUCUUAAACUGAUUUUCUCAGGAACUUUGUCAGCGACGGAUAGCUAAGACAGUGGAAUAUUCUGGUUCCUACUCGUAACUUGGGGUAGCAUGUCCUGAAGCUUGUAUGAAUCCAAACCCAACAUUUUUACAGAAUAAAUCUGUAGUCAGUCUGUUCUACUCAAGUACAAGAAUAAUGAAAGAAGGAAGAAAGAAAAAAAGAAAAAGUAUAAAAUCAAGCUGGGUGUGGCAUCAUAUAUAUUUGUAAUUCCAGCACUCAGGAAGCUGAGGCAGGAGCAUCAGUGCAAGUUAGAGGCUAGCCUGAGCUAUAUAGCGAGAGAGUAUCAAAAUACAAAACAAAGUACAAAAUUGAGUAGGGAAGUCCAAAUUUUACUUGCAAAUUGUACAAAUGUCAAGGUGAAAAUUCAAAGGGAAUCCACUAAAGAUCUUAGUCUGAAAAGUUUAAUGUUAUCUCUCCCAUAUUGCAAGCCUGUUUUCAAGAUUGUUUGCAUUUUCUCAACCAAAACUCAUUCCAGUUAAAAUCCACAGCUCAGCUUCAAGUUUCUAAAUUUGUUUGCAGGGGAUAUUAAAAUAGAAGGAAAAAAUGAG
ensembl:lncRNA